CCGUGAUAAGGGGACACCGAGUGCCAGCAUCAUAUGCUGGCUGUCCGGGUGUGUAAAAUACACCUGUCAGCAAGGGCCGGGCAAGACCGGUGCCAGCCGCCGCGGUAACACCGGCGGCCCGAGUGGUGAUCGUGAUUAUUGGGUCUAAAGGGUCCGUAGCCGGUUUGGUCAGUCCUCCGGGAAAUCUGACGGCUCAACCGUUAGGCUUUCGGGGGAUACUGCCAGGCUUGGAACCGGGAGAGGUAAGAGGUACUACAGGGGUAGGAGUGAAAUCUUGUAAUCCCUGUGGGACCACCUGUGGCGAAGGCGUCUUACCAGAACGGGUUCGACGGUGAGGGACGAAAGCUGGGGGCACGAACCGGAUUAGAUACCCGGGUAGUCCCAGCCGUAAACGAUGCUCGCUAGGUGUCAGGCAUGGCGCGACCGUGUCUGGUGCCGCAGGGAAGCCGUGAAGCGAGCCACCUGGGAAGUACGGCCGCAAGGCUGAAACUUAAAGGAAUUGGCGGGGGAGCAC
rnacentral:rRNA from 1 species